rnacentral:rRNA from 1 species
UACGAAGGGGGCUAGCGUUGCUCGGAAUCACUGGGCGUAAAGGGUGCGUAGGCGGGUCUUUAAGUCAGGGGUGAAAUCCUGGAGCUCAACUCCAGAACUGCCUUUGAUACUGAGGAUCUUGAGUACGGGAGAGGUGAGUGGAACUGCGAGUGUAGAGGUGAAAUUCGUAGAUAUUCGGAAGAACACCAGUGGCGAAGGCGAACUUACUGGACACAUAUUGACGCUGAGGUGCGAAAGCGUGGGGAGCAAACAGGG